GGAAAGAUGUAAGGGAUUGUGUCCAUAAAAUUCUUGACAGGCUCUUUACCAAUCGGUUGAUGGCAAAAUUCAACAUGAAGGGGAAGGGGAAAAAGCAGAAACUGCCUCUGGAGACGACGACAAACUUACGAAGCAAUUAAUGGUACUCAGCAUUUUCCCCAUGUCAUUUAAGUUUAACACCAACUCACUCAUAUUCACUACCUAAGCUUUUUCUAAAUGUAGAAAAAUCUGUCUAGAAGGAAAAACGGUUUAGUCUAUUGAUAGAAUUUUAUU
rnacentral:lncRNA from 1 species